rnacentral:rRNA from 1 species
CUAGUUUACACUAAGUGACCCAUAGGUUGAGGAGGCGGUGACCGUGGCGGUGGAGGAGGAGGAUCAGGUAGCCAACACUGGUUUUAUAUAUAUAUAUAUAUUUGAAAUGGGGUAGCCAAAAUAUUGUGACAUAUAAAAAAAGACAACUCUGUUCCGCAGAGUAGCUGUUGACAUUAUAGUUGCGCAGGAACUUUGUUGACUCUAGAGAACCUCGGGCAAAUCGCACAUCCCCGUGGCGGCGACUUUGCAUGCGGAUGUCAUCCAUAUCAACUUUUGAUACUAGUUUCUGCACCUACCAUGGUGACCACUGGUAAAGCGGAAUCAGGGUUCCAUUUCAUACGGGGACCCUGAGAAAUGGCUACCACAUGCAAAGAAGGCAGCAGGCGCGCAAAUGACCCACUCCCGACGCGGGAAGGUAGUGAAGACAAAUAACAAUACAGGACUCUUUAGAGGCCCUGUAAUUGUAAUGAGUCCACUUGAAAUCCUUUAACUCUGAGCAAUUGGAGGGUAGUUUGGUGCAGAGCCACUGACCCGUGCGCGCUGCAGCUGAAAAACCAUCGCCUU